UCCCUGGUGGCUCAAAUGGUAAAGAAUCUGCCUACAAUGCAGGAGAUCUAGGUUCAAUUCCUGGGUUGGGAA
rfam:Ovis aries breed Texel chromosome 6, whole genome shotgun sequence.